rnacentral:rRNA from 1 species
GACGAACGCUGGCGGCGUGCUUAACACAUGCAAGUCGAACGGAAAGGCCCGCUUUUGUGGGGUGCUCGAGUGGCGAACGGGUGAGUAACACGUAAGUAACCUGCCCUUGACUUUGGGAUAACUUCAGGAAACUGGGGCUAAUACCGGAUAGGAGCUCCUGCUGCAUGGUGGGGGUUGGAAAGUUUCUGCGGUUGGGGAUGGACUCGCGGCUUAUCAGCUUGUUGGUGGGGUAGUGGCUUACCAAGGCUUUGACGGGUAGCCGGCCUGAGAGGGUGACCGGCCACAUUGGGACUGAGAUACGGCCCAGACUCCUACGGGAGGCAGCAGUGGGGAAUAUUGCACAAUGGGCGGAAGCCUGAUGCAGCAACGCCGCGUGCGGGAUGACGGCCUUCGGGUUGUAAACCGCUUUCGCCUGUGACGAAGCGUGAGUGACGGUAAUGGGUAAAGAAGCACCGGCUAACUACGUG